AGAGUUUGAUCAUGGCUCAGAACGAACGCUGGCGGCAGGCCUAACACAUGCAAGUCGAACGCCGUAGCAAUACGGAGUGGCAGACGGGUGAGUAACACGUGGGAACACGCCCUUCGGUUCGGAAUAACUCAGGGAAACUUGAGCUAAUACCGGAUACGUCCAAGGCAACUUGGAGAAAGAUUUAUCGCCGAUGGAUUGGCCCGCGUCUGAUUAGCUAGUUGGUGGGGUAACGGCUCACCAAGGCGACGAUCAGUAGCUGGUCUGGGAGGAUGAUCAGCCACAUUGGGACUGAGACACGGCCCAAACUCCUACGGGAGGCAGCAGUGGGGAAUAUUGGACAAUGGGCGCAAGCCUGAUCCAGCCAUGCCGCGUGAGUGAUGAAGGCCCUAGGGUUGUAAAGCUCUUUUACCCGGGAAGAUAAUGACGGUACCGGGAGAAUAAGCCCCGGCUAACUUCGUGCCAGCAGCCGCGGUAAUACGAAGGGGGCUAGCGUUGUUCGGAAUCACUGGGCGUAAAGCGCAUGUAGGCGGAUUCUUAAGUCAGGGGUGAAAUCCCGAGGCUCAACCUCGGAACUGCCUUUGAUACUGGGGAUCUUGAGUCCGGGAGAGGUGAGUGGAAUUGCGAGUGUAGAGGUGAAAUUCGUAGAUAUUCGCAAGAACACCAGUGGCGAAGGCGGCUCACUGGCCCGGUACUGACGCUGAGGUGCGAAAGCGUGGGGAGCAAACAGGAUUAGAUACCCUGGUAGUCCACGCCGUAAACGAUGGAUGCUAGCCGUCAGGCAGCUUGCUGUUUGGUGGCGCAGUUAACGCGUUAAGCAUCCCGCCUGGGGAGUACGGUCGCAAGAUUAAAACUCAAAGGAAUUGACGGGGGCCCGCGCAAGCGGUGGAGCAUGUGGUUCAAUUCGAAGCAACGCGCAGAACCUUACCAGCCCUUGACAUGUCUCGUAUGGUGGCCGGAGACGGCUUCCUUCAGUUCGGCUGGCGAGAAACACA
rnacentral:rRNA from 1 species